rnacentral:rRNA from 1 species
AUACGGAGGAUCCGAGCGUUAUCCGGAUUUAUUGGGUUUAAAGGGAGCGUAGGUGGAUUGUUAAGUCAGUUGUGAAAGUUUGCGGCUCAACCGUAAAAUUGCAGUUGAAACUGGCAGUCUUGAGUACAGUAGAGGUGGGCGGAAUUCGUGGUGUAGCGGUGAAAUGCUUAGAUAUCACGAAGAACUCCGAUCGCGAAGGCAGCUCACCGGGCCGGAACUGACACUGAUGCUCGAAAGUGCGGGUAUCAAACAGGAUUAGAUACCCUGGUAGUCCGCACAGUAAACGAUGAAUACUCGCUGUUUGCGAUAUACAGUAAGCGGCCAAGCGAAAGCAUUAAGUAUUCCACCUGGGGAGUACGCCGGCAACGGUGAAACUCAAAUGAAUUGACGGGG